rnacentral:lncRNA from 1 species
GGGAAGAUGUGACAAGGCGGACGCUUGGUGCCUGAGCACAGGAAUAAGAAUUAAACAGAGAUAAGAACAGCUGAAGAAAAUAAGCCGCCCAACGCACCCUCAGGCCAGUAGCCAGUACCUGUUGCUGGAGAUCUCCAGAGGAAGCUAUCUGUUCUGGAGUCCCUGGUGCCAAGCACAGGGCUAGCAGUAAGAGAGAAUCUGAGAGGACACUGUAGGGAAAGGCACCCUGGGAGAGGUGGCACCUCACCUCCAGAGACCCAGCUGAGGCCCGGCAGUCUUCCUGGAACAGUAAGGGCCUUGGGGACAUGACCAUUCACCCUGGGCCAGGAGAACGCCACCUGACUAUGCCCUGAAGGGGUGUUUGUUCCACCAGCUCUCUGGUCCUGUUCCUCCUCUAUCCCUGAGGUCCCUCGGAUUCACCUGCUACCUCAUUCUCCAAGGAGGAAAGCUGUCAGUCAGCAGUGUGUGUGUGUGGGGGGGCACACAGCCAUGAGCCAGCUACAACCUUGGAAACUGAGGGGACUCUGACCCAGGAGGGGCCGUGGAACGCCCAAGAGAGCCUUCGGCACCCUCGAGUCCUGCUGGAAGAAUCCAGCGGCACAGACAGCAAGGCAAGCUUGGGGCCUGUUGGCAGUGUCACGGUAUAACAGACACAGCUAGAAAGAGAAGCAGGAGGCUGCCCACCAGGAUGGGCCCCUCCCAGCCCCAGCCUACUUUCAGAGACCAGCCACAUCUAUAAAAUUCAUUUCUUCCCCAGCCCUCCCUGGAUAAGUUCUGCGCCUCUAGGUAUUCUUGGAGCCACCUCCAUUGUGGCUGUACCAUCAUCCACUGCCGAAGACACACACACACACACACCACCACCACACACCACCCCUGCCUGGAGCCACACCUGCUGCUGAAGCC